AUUGAACGCUGGCGGCAGGCCUAACACAUGCAAGUCGAGCGAGCGGCGGACGGGUGAGUAAUGUCUGGGGAACUGCCCGAUGGAGGGGGAUAACUACUGGAAACGGUGGCUAAUACCGCAUACUAUCGGAUGUGCCCAUAUGGGAUUAGCUGGUAGGUAGGGUAACGGCUUACCUAGGCGACGAUCCCUAGCUGGUCUGAGAGGAUGAUCAGCCACACUGGAACUGAGACACGGUCCAGACUCCUACGGGAGGCAGCAGUGGGGAAUAUUGCACAAUGGGCGCAAGCCUGAUGCAGCCAUGCCGCGUGUGUGAAGAAGGCCUUCGGGUUGUAAAGCACUUUCAGUGGGGAGGCGUUACCCGCAGAAGAAGCACCGGCUAACUCCGUGCCAGCCGCCGCGGUAAUAC
rnacentral:rRNA from 1 species